UAGAACUUACUCAUAAUGCAUGAAAAUUUUAAUUGUUCUACAACAAUUUGUUCGGUUUAGUAAAGGUGAUUUGCUUUAAGUAAUCAUGUCUAAUGAAGAACAAGUAAAUGUGUUACCAGAAAAAGAAAACGAAGAAGUUAAAAAACCUUCAAAGCAACCCGUUGAAAACUUUCGUUCUGCGGUGGAUUCCAUGAACCAAAAAAGACGCGAUUUAAUUAAAGAUAGUGCAGAUUUGGAAUCACCAAAACUUGUAAAAGUCGCUUGCCAAUUACAGAAGAAGUCUUAAUAAUUUAUUUUGAUUUUGAUACAAUUUAAUAUUUUUUAUAUGUAUUACUCAAUGAAUUGAUACAUAAAGUGAUAAGACAAAAUUAA